CCAGGAGAGGCUUGUGAGCUCUGCUUCAACUCCGUAGCUCUCCGUAUCCAUGUUCUCUGACAGAGAUCCCUCAUCCGAGAGGCCUUCGAUCAUUUCAAUUCGCAUUCUCAAUAUGUCAUAUCACGGGUGGCCUGCAAGAUAAAAUGAACUUUGCCAUUCUAAGAAAUGUAGAAGUACUAAGAUGGAUGUACAAACUAAGGCGAACGCGUGGCUAUUGUGUCCGGCACAAGCGAUCGGUUGGUCGUACUCCGUAGGUCCGUCCGUGUGUCCGUCUGUCAGUUCGACACCAACACAAGUUAAUGGUACUACAUGGAGGAACGAUCAAUAAUCCUGGGAACAUCCCCCUGAGCUGGUUCUGUAGCACCUGCCAGGUUGCGCCAUCCAGGUUGACUCAUUGUAUUAUUCGACACAGAGAGGCAGAUAGAGAGAUAGAGAGAGGGAGAGAGAGAGAGAGAUAUUCCUUCUGUUCUUUGCCAGAGGUCAUGAUGUCUCACAGAAACAAUUGUCCGGUGACAUGUGAAACGAUGACUUUAUUAAUAUAUUACGUCAAACCCUCGAACCAGACGUGGACGUAUUUUACUGGGCGCGAUAUGCAGACCACGUCGUACACAUCAUCUGCAUCACAACCCGGCUAUAGUUGGACCCCGGGACCGACCAACCGACUAAUCUGCUUCUGGUUGACCGCUUCGCCUUCGCGCACAACUUCAAUGAAAUGAAGCGGCGGUGGUUCUCCUUUGGGACCAGCGCAACUCACACCUCCUCCUGCCUCCUGCCUCCUGAGUCCUCAUGUUCGACCGCCAUCUUCUUACACCGCAUCACCAGCAGCAGCAGCAGCCGCAGCAGCAGGUGUAUAUUCAGCUAUGGGUACGGUGAAUAUUGAUUAGAAUUCUGUCACCCUGUUCAGGCCAGCCAUCAGCUCUAUACCUGCGACACACGCUCUUCGACGUACACGCAGAAUGCGGCCACCUGUACCCGCAGUUUUUAUUAAUAUAUUUCCAUUUGGCACUCUACCCUCGAGGCGCCCGAGACUUCUAAGUAUGUGUUUAUUAUUAGUCUUCACUUAAAUAUCGCCGUCCUUCCUUAUUUACUCGGUUAUCUACAACCGGAUGGACGAUUUGGGACCUUCUGCGUCGUAGAUACCAUGCGGGCUCGCUGAUGGCUUUGCCAAAGAGGCGUUCACCUCGAAACUUGAGCUUUAGCUUUGCUUUUUUAAUUGUUAAAGGAUAAGGAAAAAAAAUUAACGAGAAUUGGGAGACAUUAGAAUUCAAAUGUUGAAUAAUCAGUUAUCUUUGUCCGAAACUAUCUCAUUCGUAUGAGACUUCUUAAAAUUUUUAGUCAAAGAUCAACUUACAAGUCGAAUCGUUUCGCAAAAUUUUCGGAUUUGCGUUGAAAUAAAAAUCAUCUGAUUUAAAUUAUCAGCCUGGGCUCUAGUUUUCCACGUUUACUACGCAAUUCAAAUAACGCGGACUGCUGCGCCCUUAGUAGAUGGCUCCUAAUUUAUUAAAGCGAUUGAUUAUUUUCUUACGUCUGUACACACCGAUAGCCCGCACGUCUCGAUCGGGCUGAUGGAUUUAAUAUAUUAUACUCUGCUAACGUGAUUGGCUUUCCCCAAUCAUUCAUUAAUUCAAUGUCUGAAUUAAUUAAUUAGAAAAAAAUAUUCCUCCCGCUUGGAGUAGUCUCGGAGCAAAGGAUAUUCGAUUGCAGUUACUGACGUU
rnacentral:misc_RNA from 1 species